AUUGAACGCUAGCGGGAUGCUUUACACAUGCAAGUCGAACGGCAGCGCGGACUUCGGUCUGGCGGCGAGUGGCGAACGGGUGAGUAAUGUAUCGGAACGUGCCCAGUAGCGGGGGAUAACUACGCGAAAGCGUAGCUAAUACCGCAUACGCCCUACGGGGGAAAGCAGGGGAUCGUAAGACCUUGCACUAUUGGAGCGGCCGAUAUCGGAUUAGCUAGUUGGUGAGGUAACGGCUCACCAAGGCGACGAUCCGUAGCUGGUUUUAGAGGACGACCAGCCACACUGGGACUGAGACACGGCCCAGACUCCUACGGGAGGAAGCAGUGGGGAAUUUUGGACAAUGGGGGCAACCCUGAUCCAGCCAUCCCGCGUGUGGGAUGAAGGCCUUCGGGUUGUAAAGCACUUUUGGCAGGAAAGAAACGUCGCGGGCUAAUACCCCGUGGAACUGACGGUACCUGCAGAAUAAGCACCGGCUAACUACGUG
rnacentral:rRNA from 1 species